UACGAAGGGUGCAAACGUUGCUCGGAAUUAUUGGGCGUAAAGCGCACGUAGGCGGCUUUGUAAGUUAGAGGUGAAAGCCCGGGGCUCAACUCCGGAAUUGCCUUUAAGACUGCAUCGCUAGAAUUGUGGAGAGGUAAGUGGAAUUCCGAGUGUAGAGGUGAAAUUCGUAGAUAUUCGGAAGAACACCAGUGGCGAAGGCGACUUACUGGACACAUAUUGACGCUGAGGUGCGAAAGCGUGGGGAGCAAACAGG
rnacentral:rRNA from 1 species